UACGGGGGGGGCAAGCGUUGUUCGGAUUUACUGGGCGUAAAGCGCUUGUAGGUGGCUCUGUAAGUUGGGCGUGAAAACACUAGGCUUAACCUAGUGACGCCGUCCAAUACUGCAGGGCUUGAGGAUGUCAGAGGAAGGUGGAAUUCCUGGUGUAGUGGUGAAAUGCGUAGAUAUCAGGAGGAACACCCGUGGCGAAGGCGGCCUUCUGGGGCAUUCCUGACACUGAGAAGCGAAAGCUAGGGGAGCAAACAGG
rnacentral:rRNA from 1 species